UCUCGGCUACCGUGGCUUUCUGGAAAGUUUGUAAUACCUGAAAGCAUGAAAUAAUUCUUCCUUGUUGCAAAUAAUGUUUAAAGCGUUAUUUGUUAGUAAAUUGGUGGGUGAAGCAGGACCUCAGCUAAAGUAAAAUUGAAAGAAAAUAAAGAACAAGCAUAAUAGAGGACACCAGAAAUUACGUGGUUCGGCUUUUAGCCUAUGUCCACGUGCGAAAACAGAAGGAAAAUAUUAUACUAGUGAAAAGUAGUUACAAGUAUUGUAGUAUUUUAGCUCACUACCCAAAACCUCAAUACACCCAAACUCUCAAAACACUAAGCACACAAAACUCUCUGCUCUGCAAGAAUUACUUCUCACAAUUCUCGACUCUCU
rnacentral:lncRNA from 1 species